UACGAAGGGGGCUAGCGUUGUUCGGAUUUACUGGGCGUAAAGCGCACGUAGGCGGCUUCUUAAGUCGGUGGUGAAAUCCUGGAGCUCAACUCCAGAACUGCCUUCGAUACUGGGAGCUCGAGUCCGGGAGAGGUGAGUGGAACUGCGAGUGUAGAGGUGAAAUUCGUAGAUAUUCGCAAGAACACCAGUGGCGAAGGCGGCUCACUGGCCCGGUACUGACGCUGAGGUGCGAAAGCGUGGGGAGCAAACAGGG
rnacentral:rRNA from 1 species